rnacentral:rRNA from 1 species
UACAGAGGUCUCAAGCGUUGUUCGGAUUCAUUGGGCGUAAAGGGUGCGUAGGCGGCGCGGUAAGUCGGGUGUGAAAUCUCGGAGCUUAACUCCGAAACUGCAUUCGAUACUGCCGUGCUUGAGGACUGGAGAGGAGACUGGAAUUUACGGUGUAGCGGUGAAAUGCGUAGAUAUCGUAAGGAAGACCAGUGGCGAAGGCGGGUCUCUGGACAGUUCCUGACGCUGAUGUACGAAGGCCAGGGGAGCAAACGGG